UCUUAAAAUUGUUUGGUUAAAAUACUUAUAGUUGGAUCUACACUCAGGAUGGAGUAUCUACCUAUCGGCGGUUCCGAAUUUCCCCUAUUAUUUUACCGGUUGCCUCCGGUGACUGGCAAGCUUACUUGAACAAUUAUGAAUGGAAUAACAGAAUAGGAUCUCUCGGUUAUGUUUUGGUGGGCUUCGUAUUCUCAAAGUAAGGAUUAAAAGGACCUAGUGAGGACAUUCGUAUUGAGUGUCUAGAUACGAAAUUUUUAGGUCGUUGUAUGUGAUGAACAAGUACGAAAGUAUUUUCUUAAGAAUCAUUCUAUUAAGCAAGAACGAAAGAUAGCUCUUCGAAAGUCAUCUAUUAUCCCCUUAGUUUUCUCCAAAAACAAUGACAGUCUGUGAUCUGGCUAAAUUUCUCAUUUCUGGAAAGUUUACGGAAAACAUUCUAUGAGUUGGGGAAAAUUAUGGCCAAAAAGAUGAAAAAAAACUGACUUAAAGGCAUUAUCAAAAAUAGAACACAAAGCUGAAUUUAUACAGCACGGGAAGCCUGAAAGACUAAGAGUUAUUUUCUUUUUAUUAUUCCAUGGAGGAUGGUGCAUGACCAAUCUUAGUUGGGGAAGGAACUUGUCUGAUGAAUUUCGGCCACGAACGAGAUUCUACCUUAUUAAAUAGGUACUUAUAUUCUCUCAGUCGGAUGUUCGUCUUAGAGAAACAAUCGAU